rnacentral:rRNA from 1 species
UACGUAGGGUGCUAGCGUUGUCCGGAUUUAUUGGGCGUAAAGAGCGUGUAGGCGGCCAGAUAGGUCUGCUGUGAAAACUCGAGGCUCAACCUCGAGAUGUCGGCGGAAACCAUUUGGCUAGAGUCCGGAAGAGGAAAGUGGAAUUCCUGGUGUAGCGGUGAAAUGCGCAGAUAUCGGGAGGAACACCAAUGGCGAAGGCAGCUCGCUGGGACGGUACUGACGCUGAGACGCGAAAGCGUGGGGAGCAAACAGG